AGAGCGAACGCUGGCGGCAGGCCUAACACAUGCAAGUCGAACGGACCCCUCGGGGUUAGUGGCGGACGGGUGAGUAACACGUGGGAACGUGCCUUUAGGUUCGGAAUAGCUCCUGGAAACGGGUGGUAAUGCCGAAUGUGCCCUUCGGGGGAAAGAUUUAUCGCCUUUAGAGCGGCCCGCGUCUGAUUAGCUUGUUGGUGAGGUAAUGGCUCACCAAGGCUACGAUCAGUAGCUGGUCUGAGAGGAUGACCAGCCACAUUGGGGCUGAGACACGGCCCAAACUCCUACGGGAGCAGCAGUGGGGAAUCUUGCGCAAUGGGCGAAAGCCUGACGCAGCCAUGCCGCGUGUAUGAUGAAGGUC
rnacentral:rRNA from 1 species